rnacentral:tRNA from 1 species
UCCCUAGAGGACUAGUGGUUAGGCCUCAACUCUCUUACCACCGCAGCCUGGGUUCAAUUCCCGGCCAGGGAA